rnacentral:SRP_RNA from 1 species
GCUGGGUGUGGGGGCGCAUGCCUGUAAUCCCAGCUACUAGGGAGGCCGAGGUGGGGGAAUUGCUUGAGCCCAGGAAUUGGAGGCCGCAGUGAGCUAUGUUGGCUCCACUGCACUCCAGCCUGGGUGACGAAGCGAGACCCUGUCUCAA